CGAGACAACAAGCCUGCUCCCGCUGGGCUGCCUCGCAGGGGUGGGACCAUGGCUGGGCCCCCCCUAGCUCAGCGCUACGGUCCCCCAUGGCCCCCAAUCUCUGGGACCGAGGUGCCUGGAUCCUGGCCCAAAUGGCAUCUCACCAGCAGUGGUGUCGCCCACCACUUUAUCCCGUCUGUUCCCUUUCCUCCGCCCACUGUGCAGUCCACGGUCGCGGAACCCCUGCCCCCGGCCGCAAAGCAGGGCUUACACAUCUGGGAUUUUGACGAGGUCGUCAGCAGAUGGGACACAACCUCUGGCUCGGCUUCCGUGCCUAAGACUCACGGCGGGCCCUACGCACAGCCCAGGGCCCCAGAGCCUUCGGACCCCAGGCGGACUUUGGGGAUCAAGGAUUUAGGAGAAAAGCUCAGACACCACGGCUGGCGCCUCCCGCCGAUCGCAGAGCGCCAGUGCAGCGAGACGCGGGCUCAGUACGCCGGCCGCCCGGGCCUGGACCGGCAGCCCCUGGAGCCUGCGGACGACCACCGCGGAGGCCCCUCCCAGGCUUUAAUCUCCUGGACAAAGAACCCCGAGCUGUGCGGCCGGCCUUUUACAGUAUCUGACCAGGGCGUCCUGGACCGCCAUCAGCUCUAUCUGACCACCUCGGCCAAGGACUUCCGGGCCUAUCCGAAGAAGGAGUUGUCUGGAUAUCCCCGCAAGGACUCGCUGACCUCCUGGAGCUUUCAGAAUACGCCUCAGGAUUAG
rnacentral:lncRNA from 1 species